AAAAACCAAAUAAAUAUAACCGUUUGUGGUUGGCUGAAGUGACUCCAAAUCGCGGUGUUCGGAGAAAGUUUGCGGUUUGGAACCCGUCAAUUUGGUCAUCAAUAUUUGUCAAAAAAGAUUUUUUCUAUGAGGCGAUCCGAUGAAUUCAUCAUUCUAAGAUCUAUAGAAUCGCCUACGUAUCCAGAAAUAUGCCAUUUUCAGUCAUAUUUUUAUAUUAUAGUCUAUCUGUUUUUGGUAUAUCAAUAGAAUCUAUUUUUUUCGAUUGAAUUUCAGUGUGAAAAUCAUCGCUUGAUGCCAAGAAUACGCAGAAAAAAAUUCAACUAAAAUGUACCAAACAUCGCAUAGUAUAAACUGCUGGACCAAUUAAUUAAAAACUGAAGAAUAGGAUUGAAAUAAAUUUGUGCCAAAAAAUAAAUUAUUUUGAUAUGAAUCAAAAUAAAAAAAAAACAUUUUCACGUAAUAAAAGUGAAUCACCCGAGCUCAAAAAUCAGUUUAUUGGAAUAGCGUUUGGACUCUCUGAAUUCGUGUCUCUGUAUGUGUGUGUGUGUCAGUCAGUUGGCUUUUGAUUUAGUGUAUAAGCUUAUGCAUUGGAAUCUUUUUGAUAUGGUGCACUUCACAGCCAGCAACUGAUUUACGUAACGUGAAGAGGUUGGAAUGUGAGAACGUUGUCGACAUUGUCUCAUUGGAACAGCCAUGAAUUUGGAUGAAUGAACUUGUUGCAAAUAUAAUGUUAAUUGUGGUGUGAGCUUCUGUUUACCCGUGUCGGAUUCGAAAAAGAGAAAAAGAAAACAGCGUAGUGCAUUGAACAUCGUUCAACUCAUCGG